rnacentral:rRNA from 1 species
GGCUCAGGACGAACGCUGGCGGCGUGCCUAACACAUGCAAGUCGAACGGAACUUUUUCAGAAGAUUCUUUCGGGAUGAUUUUGGUUAAGUUUAGUGGCGGACGGGUGAGUAACGCGUGAGUAACCUGCCUUUGAGAGGGGAAUAACAAUCUGAAAAGAUUGCUAAUACCGCAUAACAUAUACGAAUCGCAUGGUUUGUAUAUCAAAGAUUUUAUCGCUCAAAGAUGGACUCGCGUCCGAUUAGUUAGUUGGUGAGGUAACGGCUCACCAAGACCGCGAUCGGUAGCCGGACUGAGAGGUUGAACGGCCACAUUGGGACUGAGACACGGCCCAGACUCCUACGGGAGGCAGCAGUGGGGGAUAUUGCGCAAUGGGGGCAACCCUGACGCAGCAACGCCGCGUGAAGGAUGAAGGUUUUCGGAUUGUAAACUUCUUUUAUUAAGGACGAAUAAUGACGGUACUUAAUGAAUAAGCUCCGGCUAACUACGUGCCAGCAGCCGCGGUAAUACGUAGGGAGCAAGCGUUGUCCGGAUUUACUGGGUGUAAAGGGUGCGUAGGCGGCUUUGCAAGUCAGAUGUGAAAUCUAUGGGCUCAACCCAUAAACUGCAUUUGAAACUGUAGAGCUUGAGUGAAGUAGAGGCAGGCGGAAUUCCCCGUGUAGCGGUGAAAUGCGUAGAGAUGGGGAGGAACACCAGUGGCGAAGGCGGCCUGCUGGGCUUUAACUGACGCUGAGGCACGAAAGCGUGGGUAGCAAACAGGAUUAGAUACCCUGGUAGCCCACGCUGUAAACGAUGAUUACUAGGUGUGGGGGGUCUGACCCCUUCCGUGCCGGAGUUAACACAAUAAGUAAUCCACCUGGGGAGUACGGCCGCAAGGUUGCAACUCAAAUGAAUUGACGGA